rnacentral:rRNA from 1 species
UGCCAGCCGCCGCGGUAAUACGAAAGGUGCAAGCGUUGUUCGGAUUUACUGGGCGUAAAGAGAUCGUAGGUGGUUUAUUAAGUCGAGGGUGAAAUCCCAGGGCUCAACCCUGGAACUGCCUUCGAUACUGGUAGUCUUGAGGUCGAGAGAGGUGAGUGGAAUUCCGAGUGUAGAGGUGAAAUUCGUAGAUAUUCGGAGGAACACCAGUGGCGAAGGCGGCUCACUGGCUCGAUACUGACGCUGAGGUGCGAAAGUGUGGGGAGCAAACAGGAUUAGAUA